CGGCGUCGAGCGGCGGACGGGUGAGUAAUGCCUGGGAAAUUGCCCUGAUGUGGGGGAUAACCAUUGGAAACGAUGGCUAAUACCGCAUAAUAGCUUCGGCUCAAAGAGGGGGACCUUCGGGCCUCUCGCGUCAGGAUAUGCCCAGGUGGGAUUAGCUAGUUGGUGAGGUAAUGGCUCACCAAGGCGACGAUCCCUAGCUGGUCUGAGAGGAUGAUCAGCCACACUGGAACUGAGACACGGUCCAGACUCCUACGGGAGGCAGCAGUGGGGAAUAUUGCACAAUGGGCGCAAGCCUGAUGCAGCCAUGCCGCGUGUAUGAAGAAGGCCUUCGGGUUGUAAAGUACUUUCAGCAGUGAGGAAGGUGGGUGUGUUAAUAGCGCAUUCAUUUGACGUUAGCUGCAGAAGAAGCACCGGCUAACUCCGUGCCAGCAGCCGCGGUAAUACGGAGGGUGCGAGCGUUAAUCGGAAUUACUGGGCGUAAAGCGCAUGCAGGUGGUUUGUUAAGUCAGAUGUGAAAGCCCGGGGCUCAACCUCGGAAUAGCAUUUGAAACUGGCAGACUAGAGUACUGUAGAGGGGGGUAGAAUUUCAGGUGUAGCGGUGAAAUGCGUAGAGAUCUGAAGGAAUACCGGUGGCGAAGGCGGCCCCCUGGACAGAUACUGACACUCAGAUGCGAAAGCGUGGGGAGCAAACAGGAUUAGAUACCCUGGUAGUCCACGCCGUAAACGAUGUCUACUUGGAGGUUGUGGCCUUGAGCCGUGGCUUUCGGAGCUAACGCGUUAAGUAGACCGCCUGGGGGAGUACGGUCGCAAGAUUAAAACUCAAAUGAAUUGACGGGGGCCCGCACAAGCGGUGGAGCAUGUGGUUUAAUUCGAUGCAACGCGAAGAACCUUACCUACUCUUGACAUCCUCAGAAGAGACUGGAGAUAGUCUUGUGCCUUCGGGAACUGUGAGACAGGUGCUGCAUGGCUGUCGUCAGCUCGUGUUGUGAAAUGUUGGGUUAAGUCCC
rnacentral:rRNA from 1 species